rnacentral:rRNA from 1 species
UACGUAGGGACCAAGCGUUGUUCGGAUUUACUGGGCGUAAAGGGCGCGUAGGCGGCGUGGUAAGUCAGCUGUGAAAUCUCCCGGCUAAACUGGGAGAGGACACGUCAGACUGCCCGGCUAGAGGCGGAUAGAGGGGCGCAGAAUUCGGGGUGUAGCGGUGAAAUGUGUAGAGAUCCCGAGGAAUACCAGUGGUGAAGACGGCGCCCUGGGUCCGUACUGACGCUGAGAUGCGAAAGCGUGGGGAGCGAACGGG